rnacentral:rRNA from 1 species
UACGUAGGGGGCGAGCGUUGUCCGGAUUCAUUGGGCGUAAAGAGCUCGUAGGCGGCUGUUCAAGUCGAUUGUGAAAACUCGGAGCUCAACUCCGAGCCUGCGUUCGAUACUGGACGGCUAGAGUCUGGUAGGGGGACCUGGAAUUCCUGGUGUAGCGGUGGAAUGCGUAGAUAUCUGGAGGAACACCGGUGGCGAAGGCGGCAUCCUGGACCGGUAUUGACGCUGAGGAGCGAAAGCCAGGGGAGCAAACGGG